UAUUGUAUAAUAUGUAAUAUGGAGAAUUUAAAUUUUUCAGCACCAUGUUUAAUUUUUGUCACGUGAUUGUUAUUAUCCUCAGCAUUUACCAUGUAUCAAACGCAAGACAACUCACCCGUCAAUGUAUGGCCGACAACGGAAGAUGCGGCAGCAAAAAAGGCUCAUCAUGUGCUAGCGUGUUCGGAUCUGGGUGGAAGGAAAAAGGGAAAUGUUGUAGGAACAAACCAUGUUGCGUGUUUCAUUGUGACGAUAUCCAGCAGGAUCAGCUUCAAAACGGGCAAACAGUUAAUAUUACCGGAACAGAGGUUGGUGCCACUGCAACUUUUUCUUGCAAAGCAG